GGUGUUGUGGCGAAAUGGUAAACGCGUCGGUUUAGAAAACCGUGGCCUUAACAGGCUUGGAGGUUCGAUUCCUCUCAACAUCU
rnacentral:tRNA from 1 species